UUCGAUGCAACGCGAAGAACCUUACCUGGGUUUGACAUAUACCGGAAAGCUGCAGAGAUGUGGCCCCCCUUGUGGUCGGUAUACAGGUGGUGCAUGGCUGUCGUCAGCUCGUGUCGUGAGAUGUGGUUAAGUCCCGCAACGAGCGCAACCCUAUCUUAUGUUGCCAGCACGUUAUGGUGGGGACUCGUAAGAGACUGCCGGGGUCAACUCGGAGGAAGGUGGGGACGACGUCAAGUCAUCAUGCCCCUUGUGUCCAGGGCUUCACACAUGCUACAAUGGCCAGUACAGAGGGCUGCGAGACCGUGAGGUGGAGCGAAUCCCUUAAAGCUGGUCUCAGUUCGGAUCGGGGUCUGCAACUCGACCCCGUGAAGUCGGAGUCGCUAGUAAUCGCAGAUCAGCAACGCUGCAGUGAAUACGUUCCCGGGCCUU
rnacentral:rRNA from 1 species